UGCCUCCCGCCCUGGAGCACGCCCUUCCUCUUGCUGCCGAAUGCUGAUGGGUUUGUCUCCGGUCCCAGAGCACCAAGCUGUGGAUCAUCAUGGAGUACCUGGGUGGCGGCUCAGCACUGGACUUGCUUAAACCAGGUCCCCUGGAGGAGACGUACAUUGCCACGAUCCUGCGGGAGAUUCUGAAGGGCCUGGAUUAUCUGCACUCCGAGCGCAAGAUCCACCGAGACAUCAAAGGUCCUGCUGGGGGUGGAUGUGGCUCUUGUAAUGUCCUGAGCCCCACUGACCUUAGAGAGGCCGGGGCCUGUGAGGGGCAAGUGGCUAGUGGUGCCCAGGGUCUGGAGUAUAGAGAACCCUGUGGCCACCCUGAAACUGAGCAGUCCUGUCUCGCUCCAUUUCCAGAAGAUACUGCUUGUAACGGUUUCCUUGUACGCUGAGGAAACCAGCUGUGGACUGAGUGUGGGAAAGGGCCAUACUUAGCCGGAGUUGUUGGUUCCUUGUGGCGCA
rnacentral:sRNA from 1 species